GACGAACGCUGGCGGCGUGCUUAACACAUGCAAGUCGAACGGAAAGGCCCCCACUUUUUUGGUGGGGGUGCUCGAGUGGCGAACGGGUGAGUAACACGUGGGUGAUCUGCCCUGUACUUCGGGAUAAGCUUGGGAAACUGGGUCUAAUACCGGAUAGGACCAUGGUUUAGUGUCUCAUGGUGGAAAAAUUAUUGUUUUGGUGCAGGAUGAGCUCGCGGCCUAUCAGCUUGUUGGUGGGGUAAUGGCCUACCAAGGCGUCGACGGGUAGCCGGCCUGAGAGGGUGGACGGCCACAUUGGGACUGAGAUACGGCCCAGACGACGACGGGAGGCAGCAGUGGGGAAUAGUGCACAAUGGGCGCAAGCCUGAUGCAGCGACGCCGCGUGGGGGAUGACGGCCUUCGGGUGGUAAACUCAUUUCGUUAGGGACGAAGCCGCACCUUUUUGGGGUGUGGUGACGGUACCUUUGUGAAGAAGCACCGGCUAACUACGUG
rnacentral:rRNA from 1 species